rnacentral:misc_RNA from 1 species
GAUGAAGAACGUAGCGAAAUGCGAUACGUAAUGUGAAUUGCAGAAUUCAGUGAAUCAUCGAAACUUUGAACGCAUAUUGCGCUCUCUGGUAUUCCGGAGAGCAUGCUUGUUUGAGUAUCAGUAAACACCUCAACUUCCAUAUCUUUUUUGAAAUGGGAGUUGGACUUGAGUGAUCCCAACGCUUUUCCUCACCGAAAAGUGGCGGGUUACUUGAAAUGCAGGUGCAGCUGGACUUUUCUCUGAGCUAUAAGCAUAUCUAUUUAGUCUGCCUAAAAAACAGAUUAUUACCUUUGCUGCAGCUAACAUAAAGGAGAUUAGUUCUUGUGCUGACUGAUGCAGGAUUCACAAAGACAGGCUUCGGCCGACUUUGUAAACUCGAUCUCAAAUCAAGUAAGACUACCCGCUGAACUUAAGCAUAUCAAUAAGCGGAGGA